rnacentral:rRNA from 1 species
AGUGAACGCUGGCGGUAGGCCUAACACAUGCAAGUCGAACGGCAGCACAGUAAGAGCUUGCUCUUACGGGUGGCGAGUGGCGGACGGGUGAGGAAUACAUCGGAAUCUACUUUUUCGUGGGGGUUAACGUAGGGGAACUUACGCCAAUAUAGCAGACGCCCUACGGGGGAAAGCAGGGGAUCUUCGGACCUUGCGGGUAUGGAUGCGCGGGUGUUUGAUUAGCUAGUUGGCGGGGUACUGGCCUACCAAGGCUCUGAUCGGUAGCCGGCCUGAGAGGGUGACCGGCCACAUUGGGACGGAGAUACGGCCCAGACUCCUACGGGAGGCAGCAGUGGGGAAUAUUGCACAAUGGGCUGAAGCCUGAUGCAGCAACGCCGCGUGCGGGAUGACGGCCUUCGGGUUGUAAACCGCAUUCGCCUGUGACGAAGCGUGAGUGACGGUAAUGGGUAAAGAAGCACCGGCUAACUACGUG